rnacentral:rRNA from 1 species
UGGGGAAUAUUGGACAAUGGGCGCAAGCCUGAUCCAGCCAUGCCGCGUGAGUGAUGACGGCCUUAGGGUUGUAAAGCUCUUUCGCUCGGGACGAUAAUGACGGUACCGAGAUAAGAAGCCCCGGCUAACUUCGUGCCAGCAGCCGCGGUAAUACGAAGGGGGCUAGCGUUGUUCGGAAUUACUGGGCGUAAAGCGCGUGUAGGCGGGUCUUUAAGUCAGGGGUGAAAUGCCAAGGCUCAACCUUGGAACUGCCUUUGAUACUGGAGAUCUUGAGUCCGGGAGAGGUGAGUGGAAUUGCGAGUGUAGAGGUGAAAUUCGUAGAUAUUCGCAAGAACACCAGUGGCGAAGGCGGCUCACUGGCCCGGAACUGACGCUGAGACGCGAAAGCGUGGGGAGCAAACAGGAUUAGAUACCCUGGUAGUCCACGCCGUAAACGAUGGAUGCUAGCCGUUAGACAGCUUGCUGUUUAGUGGCGCAGUUAACGCGUUAAGCACGCCGCCUGGGGAGUACGGUCGCAAGA